rnacentral:rRNA from 1 species
ACGAUUGACGGAGCGAAGCGACGUCAAAGCGUUCAUUAAAGUCGAGUUGGCUUAGGGAUACGUUCGUUGGGUAGGGGAGCGUUCUGUAAGCCUGUGAAGGUGGCCUGUGAGGGUUGCUGGAGGUAUCAGAAGUGCGAAUGCUGACAUAAGUAACGAUAAAGCGGGUGAAAAGCCCGCUCGCCGGAAGACCAAGGGUUCCUGUCCAACGUUAAUCGGGGCAGGGUGAGUCGACCCCUAAGGCGAGGCCGAAAGGCGUAGUCGAUGGGAAACGGGUUAAUAUUCCCGUACUUGGUGUUACUGCGAAGGGGGGACGGAGAAGGCUAUGUUGGCCGGGCGACGGUUGUCCCGGUUUAAGCGUGUAGGUGUGUGUUCCAGGUAAAUCCGGUUCACUUUAACACUGAGGCGUGACGACGAGGCACUACGGUGCUGAAGCAACAAAUGCCCUGCUUCCAGGAAAAGCCUCUAAGCAUCAGGUAACAUCAAAUCGUACCCCAAACCGACACAGGUGGUCAGGUAGAGAAUACCAAGGCGCUUGAGAGAACUCGGGUGAAGGAACUAGGCAAAAUGGUGCCGUAACUUCGGGAGAAGGCACGCUGACACGUAGGUGAAGUGAUUUACUCAUGGAGCUGAAGUCAGUCGAAGAUACCAGCUGGCUGCAACUGUUUAUUAAAAACACAGCACUGUGCAAACACGAAAGUGGACGUAUACGGUGUGACGCCUGCCCGGUGCCGGAAGGUUAAUUGAUGGGGUCAGCGCAAGCGAAGCUCCUGAUCGAAGCCCCGGUAAACGGCGGCCGUAACUAUAACGGUCCUAAGGUAGCGAAAUUCCUUGUCGGGUAAGUUCCGACCUGCACGAAUGGCGUAAUGAUGGCCAGGCUGUCUCCACCCGAGACUCAGUGAAAUUGAACUCGCUGUGAAGAUGCAGUGUACCCGCGGCAAGACGGAAAGACCCCGUGAACCUUUACUAUAGCUUGACACUGAACAUUGAGCCUUGAUGUGUAGGAUAGGUGGGAGGCUUUGAAGCGUGGACGCCAGUCUGCGUGGAGCCAACCUUGAAAUACCACCCUUUAAUGUUUGAUGUUCUAACGUGGACCCGUAAUCCGGGUUGCGGACAGUGUCUGGUGGGUAGUUUGACUGGGGCGGUCUCCUCCUAAAGAGUAACGGAGGAGCACGAAGGUUGGCUAAUCCUGGUCGGACAUCAGGAGGUUAGUGCAAUGGCAUAAGCCAGCUUGACUGCGAGCGUGACGGCGCGAGCAGGUGCGAAAGCAGGUCAUAGUGAUCCGGUGGUUCUGAAUGGAAGGGCCAUCGCUCAACGGAUAAAAGGUACUCCGGGGAUAACAGGCUGAUACCGCCCAAGAGUUCAUAUCGACGGCGGUGUUUGGCACCUCGAUGUCGGCUCAUCACAUCCUGGGGCUGAAGUAGGUCCCAAGGGUAUGGCUGUUCGCCAUUUAAAGUGGUACGCGAGCUGGGUUUAGAACGUCGUGAGACAGUUCGGUCCCUAUCUGCCGUGGGCGCUGGAGAACUGAGGGGGGCUGCUCCUAGUACGAGAGGACCGGAGUGGACGCAUCACUGGUGUUCGGGUUGUCAUGCCAAUGGCACUGCCCGGUAGCUAAAUGCGGAAGAGAUAAGUGCUGAAAGCAUCUAAGCACGAAACUUGCCCCGA